UCUAGCAGCAGACCUGGCGGUGCGACGCCGUCAAGCACCAGCCGAGCACCACCGCGCGGUGCUCCACCACCGUACGGUGCACGCCCACGCCACAAAUCCGUUCUUGGCCCCGCUCUCCGAAAUCCGUUGCUGCUGUUAUCCGUCCCGCUCCCAGAUGGAUUCCUGAGUCCCCAAAAAUUGGUGUUCUGUUAUCUAUCUAUUUACUGAUUUGUAUCUUUCCUUCUCUCGUCUGCGUGUGAUGGCCAGGUAUUGCUGCUGCCAGUGAGGGAUGCAAGAAUCUGCGUGCCAAUACUGUAAAAGGAAGAGUUCUACAAGAACAAGAAGGAAGGAUUGUAUUUUCUUCUCCAUUGCCCGUGAAGGCAAAAUUUGGGAAAACAGGGCCAGAUGUUGGUGCUUGGGGUCAGAUGGUGCAUCGAUUGUGGGUAUAAUAUGGUGCAUCGAUUGUGGAAAUAGUAUCCAUGAAGUUUAUUCAAGAGAGCGACUAUUUUUUUAUACUGGAUGAGAACGCUUCCAUCAUAGGCUCCAUCUCAUCCGGUCUAUGUCUUCGAGACGGUCUAUUUUCAACAUUUAUACAAAGAAGAUCUGGCACCAGAGAUUCACCAUCGGGAUUAACACAUUGCUUCGAUGACGAUACUAUCUCAAGAUGCAUUAUUAACGAGCUUUCCACUGACACCAUAUUUGUUUCAGGGAUUUCCUUCCCCUGGUAUACCAAUGACGGAUCAUAAGGAUAGUGGUCAGGAUAGAUGGGAAAUCAAGCACCACAGCUCACGUCAGUUCAAAUCAUGUUAUUUAUGUGGAGUAUCAGCUGAUUGCUGGACUCCAAGCUAUUUUUCUUAAGUUUUCAUUUGCUGACAUGAUUUUCUUUAGAAUAUGCCUAUUGUUAAAGGUCUGAACAAAAAAACUCAACACGUUUGGGACCCUUAAUCACAAAAAUCAGCUUUUUUUUCACUCUC